rnacentral:rRNA from 1 species
ACGGGGUGCAGCAGGCGCGAAAACUUCACACUGUGCGAAAGCACGAUGAGGGAAUCCCAAGUGCCAACUCGUAAGAGCUGGCUGUUUCUCUGUCUAAAAAAUAGAGAGAGUAAGAGCUGGGUAAGACGGGUGCCAGCCGCCGCGGUAAUACCUGCAGCUCAAGUGGUGGCCACUAUUAUUGGGCCUAAAACGUCCGUAGCCGGUUUAAUAAAUGCCGGGGUAAAUCGUGUAGCUUAACUAUACGAAUUCCGGGUAGACUGUUAGACUUGAGACCGGGAGAAGCUAGAGGUACUCCUGGGGUAGAGGUGAAAUUCUGUAAUCCUAGGGGGACCACCAGUGGCGAAGGCGUCUAGCUAGAACGGGUCUGACGGUGAGGGACGAAGCCCUGGGGCGCAAACCGGAUUAGAUACCCGGGUAGUCCAGGGUGUAAACGCUGCUUGCUUGAUGUUAGUUGGGCUCCGAGCCCAAUUAGUGUCGGAGAGAAGUUGUUAAGCAAGCUGCCUGGGAAGUACGGCCGCAAGACUGAAACUUAAAGGAAUUGGCGGGGGAGCACAGCAACGGGUGGAGCGUGCGGUUUAAUUGGAUUCAACGCCGGAAAUCUCACCGGAGGCGACGGUUACAUGAAGGCCAGGCUGAUGACUUUGCCUGAUUUUCCGAGAGGUGGUGCAUGGCCGCCGUCAGUUCGUAC